GACGAACGCUGGCGGCGUGCUUAACACAUGCAAGUCGAGCGGUAAGGCCCUUUCGGGGGUACACGAGCGGCGAACGGGUGAGUAACACGUGGGUGACCUGCCCUCAGCUCUGGGAUAAGCCUGGGAAACUGGGUCUAAUACUGGAUAUGACUCCACGGUGCAUGUCGUGGGGUGGAAAGCCUUGUGCGGCUGAGGAUGGGCCCGCGGCCUAUCAGCUUGUUGGUGGGGUGANGGCCUACCAAGGCGACGACGGGUAGCCGGCCUGAGAGGGCGACCGGCCACACUGGGACUGAGGCACGGCCCAGACUCCUACGGGAGGCAGCAGUGGGGAAUCUUGCGCAAUGGGCGAAAGCCUGACGCAGCGACGCCGCGUGA
rnacentral:rRNA from 1 species